rnacentral:tRNA from 1 species
ACUAGCCAAAUGGAAAAGGCGCUUGACUUAAGAUCAAGAUAUACAGGUUCAAAUCCUGUGUGUGA